ensembl:lncRNA
AGGCGCCCCUCCGCAACCGAGUUUAAAGGACCUCUACAAUGUUUACAUGAAAAAGCAAGAUGGUGGCAGUCGCCAGCUCUUCUCUCAAUCGACCCCCCCCCCCCCCCAUUUCAUUCCCUAGCUUUCCAGAGUCUUAGAGUUACUACAGGAAUGGGGAAUCUUUCUUGCAUGGUUUUCAUAUAAAACUCAAUGUUUUGCUCAUUUUUUACAACUCUUCUGUAUUUUUAUAUUAAGUACUUUUUAAUAUUUUGGAGAUAUAUGAAUAUAUAUAUAUGUAUAGGCUGAAGAGUUUGGUGACAGUACAGUACAUGAAUGAGAUGAAUCUAACGUGGACUAACUCUCUUUUUACAGCUCUCUAAUAUUUAUGCCACGUGUGUUGUCUUGGUCACCCGACGUUAGGGCUCAGAAACCUGCAGUGACUUGUUUACUUCCUGUCGGCCGCUCAAUUGGAAUCCCAACCGUCUAGUCUCAUCAGCCCCCUUUUCAUUCACUUUAUCUAAGAUGUUGUGACACACUACACGCUAUGUGAUUCCGCGCUGCUCGGCAUUAGAGUGCAGCCGAUGAAGCAACGUGAAUGCAGAUAACCGUAUCGACCAUUAAAUGGGAGUGAAUAAUUAUCUAUCCGAGCCCAGGGUUUCUUUGUUUCUGUACUUUGAAGCGACUACGACUGAUCUGUUUGAAUGAAUGGACUGAGGGUUGACGGCUUCAAGCCCCGCCUCUCCGUGAAGGGGGCGUGGUCUGUUGAGAGAACAGCCUGAGGAACCACACAGAGCCGAUGGGUCGCUCUGAUCCCCCUCCGGGUCUUUGAGGUGGACCCGUGCGAAGAAAGUAUGUUGGAUGAAGUCCACGAAAACGACUUUCAGAAGAAAUUCACGAUAAACGGUAGAAAGGAUUUGUCCUCAUGUCAACGUCCAGGGGGCGGGGUCUAAUUGAGUUUAUCAAGGCCGGGGCGGUUUCAUUUCAGCCCAAAGAACAAAAGGACGCCACAUUUCUUUUAUUUAGACAUGAAAUAGGGACAUUUAAAGGAGGCGGAGCCCGCGAGUCAUUGACAUCCUUCCACCGCCGCCGGCUUCGGAAGCCUUCCUGGAAAAGAGCGCCGCCGUGACAUCACUUCCUCUUCCCGCCGUGCGCCCGUUGGCUCCAGUGGGUGACGCGUUGGUUUUUGUUCUUGGUUGAACUGAUGAACAGCUGUGCUCCUGCGGCAGGUACGACGUAACAGGUGCGGGGUACCUGCUGCCUGACAGGUAAUGGGAGGGGCAGCAAUCAGCCAAUCGUCACCCAGCAAAGCGUUAAGGAUGUUCUGCAAAAGUGUUGUUCUUUUGUUUUUAUAAAGUUUGCAGUCACACACCCCCCUCCCCCCCCACCCCAUGUCCUCCCACCUGGAUAAGAUUGUCCCUCGGGUGAGUCGCCCUCACAGUACCGGGCCGCCAUGUGCAGGCGGGACUCUCGUCUCUCAUCCAGAUGUUUUGGACCGCGCCGCCUCUUUUCUUCAGAACAGCUUCCUGUUGUCGGAUCUUAAGCGACUCUUUGGAGAACUGUCACGUCCGCUUCAACAAUCCCAGAAAAAGGAGGGGAAAAAAGUUUAAAACAAACUGAAAUAUCACAGUUGAAAAAGUCAUAACCACUCAACAUAUAUAUAUCUAUCAUGUCUAUGUAUUUAUAUCUAGUAUAAUUACACGUGCGUGUGUAUAUUGGAUACAAAUACAUCGAUGUGUAUAUGUAUAUUGCUUCUCAGUUGAACUUAACUGCAAAAAAGACUGAAAAAAGAUUUGUUUUCUGUAAUUACUCUGAUACACAGUAAUAGGCUGUUGGUGUUAUUUUUGUAUAAACAUAAUAUCAUCUAUGUGGCAUGCAUGACAUAUAUACAACAAUUUGGUGGUUUAAAGCAAUAUGUCCAACAUGCGAUUGGUGCGAUUGGUUCUGUCGUGUUCUGUGUAGCCUAAAGCCACUCUGUGCGAAAACGUGUGUGUGUAUAUAUAUAUAUAUAUAUAUAUAUACAUAUAUAUAUAAAAAACAAAAAGAGAAACUGCAUUUGGAUAAAACUAACUGUUAAGUAUACGUGUUCAAUGUUCUGUGUUCUGCAUGUUUUAGUAUGAAAUGAAACAUCCCAAAAAUGUGGACCUGUUUUUACCAAAUGAAUCACAAAUACUCGCCCCCAAACACGUGCAACAUUGCACACAUGCACACACACAGACACACACAGACGCUUCUGUACUCACACUGUGAGGUGAAACACUCUGAGGAAAUUAAAACCGUGUGACUUCUGAUGGAUGGAUUGAUGAAAAAUGGAAGAUUCUUCUUUUCUUUUGUUUUCAUUGUCUCAUUUAUUCAGAAACUGAAUAACAUCCAUCACAGUUGCAUCCUACCGUACACACACACACACACACACACACACACACACACGCGCACGGACAAACUCUGACAUUUACUGAUUGUCCUGAACUCAUCACUCGCUCACCUGAGGAGGAGGAGACAUCAGGCCUGAAACCUUCAGGUCAUCACGUGUCACCAUCUAACCAAUCACAUCCAUUGAUGUCUGUGAUCCAUCAUCCUGCAGAGAGUCUCUGCUGCUUCCUGGUUUUAGGAAAACAGAGUUUAUUUGGUUUUCUUAGUCACAGAUCAAUCCGUACACGUAUCAAUAUGUUGGCUGAUUGGACAUCUUGCCCCGGUAGUGCACAUAGCAGCAACUAAAACAUUCAGUCUAUCUUCAUGCGUGAAGAAUGAAAGCAACAAAUCCUCUCAUUUGACAGAAAAAGUUCCAUUUUGGCUUAAAAAUACAGUAUAAAAACACGUUUCCCCUCUCAGGUGUUAAAACUAAUUAAUAAUUAAAUGUUUAUCUCCUCGAGAAGUCAACGUCUAAAACAGCACAAAAAACAAGAAAUAAACAUCCUCACAUGCUUGCUCACCAUGGUAAUAAGUAAACUGUCAUAUCUCUUUUUCAUAGAAUGUCGUAACCGAGUAUUUAAAGAAAAGUGCGCGAUAACAAAGCGUUUGAUUCAGACAAGUCAAGUCAGUUUGUAACACGGCAGCGUUCUUCAAAUGAUAUAUCUGCACAACAGAACAUGUUAAAUGCGCGUUAAAAUUGACGUUUUUUGUAGAAAUGGCCGCCGUCUCGUUGAAGUGCGUGGAGACGUUCACAGGGACCACGCAGCCUCUUAAAUCAACCGUCUGUAUGUACUUACUGUCAAACCAGUGAAAUUAUUUCUUUAAUUCACACUCAAACAUCUGCAGCAAUCUGACGUAUUGUCGCGUUUGUGGAGACAUUCGUGUUCCCCAGAUGAUGAAUCCUUCUGACUUUUGCUCCAGCGCCCUCCCGAGGUCCAUGAUUUUAUUUCUGAAGUAGUUUGUGCUGCGUGUUGUUUGAACUAAGACUUUGGACCCGUUGACCUUUGUACCGGCCAAACACCCCAUUAGCAUAACUACCGUUAGCAUUUAGCUUCAAGUCUUCAGGCUGCAAGGUGUCGCUCACGCCCGUUUGUUUGGGAAACAAAAUAGAACUUGUGCUUCCCCCUAAGUAUGUGUGUGUGUGUGUGUGUGUGUUUCACUCUCAUGUUGUGCGUUUCGAUCAAACAUCCUCCCGUUUGCUUCAAUCUAUGCAACAGAAUCCUCCAGUUUGGCUCCGGUGGUUCAUCUGGUUCCUCACGUCCUCUCACUCUGUCCUCCGUCUCUUUGUCCGCUUUUUAUUUUUCAGUUCUUUCUGCAAACAGAACCACGACACCGGUACAUUGAUGUAUGCGUGAGUGUGCGUGUGUGUCUGUGUGCGUGUGUCAUGUUGUUUUCUUUACUCUUUUGUAAGAUAUGAUGUGGAAUGCCUUGGUCUUAGUGUCAUGUCGUUUGAACUUAAGCUGAAGAAAAGAUGAUAAUCAAGCAACUGAGUAAAAGUUGUGACCUAAGUAUAUAUAUAUAUAAUAAAUAUAAAUAUAUAUAAAUAUAUACAAAUAUAUAUACAUUAAAUAAAGCCAAUGGAAUUUGAAAUAAA